GUGGGGAAUAUUGGACAAUGGGCGAAAGCCUGAUCCAGCCAUGCCGCGUGUGUGAAGAAGGUCUUCGGAUUGUAAAGCACUUUAAGUUGGGAGGAAGGGCAGUAAGUUAAUACCUUGCUGUUUUGACGUUACCAACAGAAUAAGCACCGGCUAACUUCGUGCCAGCAGCCGCGGUAAUACGAAGGGUGCAAGCGUUAAUCGGAAUUACUGGGCGUAAAGCGCGCGUAGGUGGUUCAGCAAGUUGGAGGUGAAAUCCCCGGGCUCGACCUGGGAACUGCCUCCAAAACUACUGAGCUAGAGUACGGUAGAGGGUAGUGGAAUUUCCUGUGUAGCGGUGAAAUGCGUAGAUAUAGGAAGGAACACCAGUGGCGAAGGCGACUACCUGGACUGAUACUGACACUGAGGUGCGAAAGCGUGGGGAGCAAACAGGAUUAGAUACCCUUGUAGUCC
rnacentral:rRNA from 1 species